CACAGCUUGAAUGGAAGCUGUAAAUGUGCAGGUAGCAGGAAUAGCAGUGGAAAACCAGAAAAGACAAAAUCCUCCUCCUCUGCUCCCAGAGUCUUCCCUCUGUGUCGACUUGUGCGUUCUCUGAGAUGAAUACUCUUUCAAGCUGGAAGUGGACAUAGCAACCAGAGCGAUAAACUUUUCUUUAAGUUUCCUUCAGUUGGUUUGAGGAGGUCUGUCUGGCGUGCCUACCCACGGGCAGGGAGACACUGCUGUCCAGCCAGAGCUGAACAACCUGUGUGGAGAAUACAAAGGCUUUCUUAUGCUGGGCAGUGUCUUAGCUCUGUGAAAACCCUGCGUCGAAUGGGUGUGUGCCUGUGGAGAAGGUCCUGCCGAAGCAGAGGGGUGAGUGAGAUCCCAAGUGGAGGAUCCCCUGUGACAGACAGCACUACUGCCAGGACCUGACACGGAGCUGGGGCUGCCAGUGGAAGCCAAGCUGCAGCAGAGCAAGCAGAGAGUCUGGUGCACUCGUAUGGGCAGGUCAGCUUGGUGGAUUUUAUGGCAGACUUCUACAGCUGAGGGACAACUGUCUGUGGAUCUCCAGGUGACUUUAAUCUGUAAUAUCAGCAAUAAUCACUGUGGUAUUGUUGCCUAGGCAUUCUUGAAGAGUCAAAAGUGGACUGUAAUUGAAGAGUUCAUUACCAAGAUCAGUUGGCUCCUUGAUUACAGUGGCAAGGUGAAAUAUAUAUCCUCACCAAAAAGCAACUGCUAAACCUUUAGAGAAGUCACCCACUUUUCACUCUUUUUCAUUAGGACCCCGACAAGCCUUGUCAGCAAAAUUAAAGAGCCAUCAGGCUGCAGAUGCACCUGUACAGCAGCACCUAGACACCGCCUCCUUGAGCUGCCAGUUGAGCGUGCCAGGGUUUUCAAGCGAGAGGAGCCGUGGAGGUAAAGCUGUUGUUCUUUCCUGCCUUUAAAGACAGCAGACUCAGAGAGAUGAGAUCCGUGUAUUUCAAUGCAUCUGAGGGUAAGUGUCCCAAACAUGAUUUCACCUGGUCCCACGGUGCUUUCUUUGGUUAACACUGGCAGUGCCCUUGGUUACAAAAAAGCCCCGUUUUCAAAGCUGGCACUUAAUUUCCUCUUGUAAGUUUUUUUCAUAACCUUUGUAUGAAUUCUUUGUGCUUUUGUGAUCAUUUGGGAAUGAAGAUCUUCUCUCAAAUUCUAUUUUAUUCCUUUUAAAUGUGACAAAUAUAAAUAUGGAAACAAGGCGGCAUACGUUAAUAAUAGAGAUGUGUGAAACUGUGGGAUUUUUGCCUUUUUGUAAAAGCUGCAAGAAGAUGCCAGUAUUUCUGCAGAUGGAAACUAUUUUUUCCACCUUCAAAGCAUCACACAGCAUAAAAUCUGUGGCUGUUUGAGUAUUGUUGGGUAGAUGCUAAAGGUAACAAGGAAAUAGAGACUCUCUCGUGACAAUUUAUACAAACUGGCUCCUAUCUCGUUCUUUUGACAACUACAACUCCCUGAAAGACACCUCAGCAUCUAGUCAUCACCAUUGUCCAGAUUAAUUGUGAUAUUUCUAUGGUGAAUUAAUAGUAUCCUCCGUGAUCUCAGGAAUCAUUCUUAAAAGAGUACCAUCCGUCCAUUAAAUUCUGAGGUAAAACAAUCUAGGCACAUGGUGCUGAUGGAUCUGGGAUUAAAUUGUGAGCAAGCAUUUAUUAAGAGACAGAUCCUGCAGUUAUGUUUAGAGAGCUCAACAGAAUACAAGCUGAUGAUUAGAGAGGACCCACUCUCCCCCACACCUCAAGCAAUGUCCCAGCACUGAAUCCCUGAGAAGUUCAGACCUAGUUGGAAACUUUGCAGCUCAACAUCCUUACUAAUUUUCUUCUCUUCAGUGAAUUUAAUAUCCCACACAUUUAAACUGUGCCUGGCUCAUGGCUUGCAAAUCCUUUUAACAGUAGGUUGGUGAGUCUUUACAUCAUCCUGUGCAUCACAGGAUUGCUUAGAUAAUCUGUUUCUUGAAGUACUUGUAAAAUCUCCUCACUGUAAUUUCCCCCUGGCUCACUCUCUCCUCCUCCCUAAGAGUACAGGGCUGAUACAGGGCUAGCUCUGAACCUGCGAAUCUGGCACGUUGUUAUCACUGAGGCUCCUGCCAAUGUGUCACAGGUGUGCACAAUGACGAGCAUAAGGAAAAAAGGGAGUUUGUGAUUGUCCAAAACCAGCUAGGAUGGCAGCUGCCAGUGUGCAGAGCACCACUGGCACCCGGGAGCCAGCAAAAUUAGGGGAGGGCAGAGGAGAGCCUCCCUGCACUUUUAAACAUAUUUCAAUCCAGUAUUUGCACAGUCCUUCAGAGACGAAAUGUGAGUAAAUGUGUGGGGAUGUGAAUGAGCAACGAAGACUCCUGACGGGGAGCUGAGCAACAUGUAAAAUUACCAAGCAAGCUUGGGACUUCUGUAAAUGCACUGAGCACACUUGGAAAAGGUGAUGGUGGUUCUGGGAGGCUCUGCUCAGUCAUGGUGUUUUGCUUUGUGUCCUGGCUGCCAAACCAUACUCGAAUUGUAUUUUACUGGGAAUCAGGCAGCUCGAGUUACAGGUGAAUGGCUGGGUUAGUUGCCUCAGUCUUGGGUCAUUUCUGCAUUGUACUUAACUGAAUAAUACCUUCCCUUUCUUCUUCUUCUUUUUUUUUUUUUUGCUCAUUGAUCAAGCUGCUUUUGAGAAAAGUGAUACUUUGCAUAUCUGGCUAAGUGCUGUUAACAGCCUCUGCCUGCGGUUUGUUAAAAUUAAAAAAAAAAAAAAAAAAAGGAAAAAAAAGAAGUGUGAUCUUGCUGGAGAAGUAAUUUGCUUCUCUCCAACCAAUGAUGGCUUGCACUUUAUGCAAAUUGGUAUCUAGGGACAACAAAUCCCAUUUAAUACAUAUGCAUAGUUCAUAAAAAAAACGACGUGAGAGAAAGAGAAAAAAGAUAAAGCAACGAGUCAGCAAAAGAACAGGUUCCGAGGAAAUUUAUUGUCCCAAAUUGGACAUUUGUAACAGAUGAUGUGAACAAGUGUUAACUUUGUUUUCAGCAGCUCUUCACGUACAUUCACUAGACAUCACACAGAUUAUGUUUUAAGGAUCUGAACUGUAAUAAAAAAAAGUGUCUGUGGGCUUUGGAGUGUUGUGUUCCAUAUGGUUGGGGAAGUGCGGAGUUAUUGCGACAAGCAUCUUGUGAAGCUCAUUACGCACGGCGGUGUUAGAUGCGAAUUGCUGCGCAUCGCUAUAGGGUACGUACAUGACAUCCCACAGUCAGCAGAUAGCAACUGGAAAUGAAAGAUAUGAAGGCACAGAGUACAGCUUCAGGGAACAUGUUAGACAAAACAUCUGCUGGUAUCAGAAAGCUGCAUUAUCAGAUCAUUGUGGCCAUGAAUUUUUUAUAAAGACUUUUUUUUUUUAAAGCUGCAACUUUGAAAGUGACAUUUUGCGAGAAAGUUUUUGAUUGAAGUGUGAUGUCAGGAGAAAGGCCAGUCUAGUUUAUUAUCUGUGUAAGAGCCAAUAUUGGCAGCCUGAAUCAACUCCCUUCUCCAAGCAGUUGAGUUGGCCAUUCACGUACUACAAGUGCUUUUUCCCUUCUGAUCCUGAUGGCUGAUAAAACCUUGACCCAGAUUACAGGUUGUAGCUUUAGUACCAGGCUCCUCAGCAAGGAGUUUUCCAAGUUUAGUUCCUGAAGGGCUACUUUAUGGCAUGGCUGGGGCACUACUGAACAAAACUCACCAGGAACGCAGCUCCUUUGUGUUCGGGAGAUGGUGCGCCUUAUGUGCAAAGCACAGAGAGGCCAGCUCAGCCUCCUUGCCUAAUUCACACUCGAGCGGGACCUGCACUGUAACGCUGACGAUCGCUGGCUCUGUCAAGGAUGGCCACAGUUAACAAGGCUGUCAUAUGUUGGUUUCAAAAGCUUCUCCUGCCCAGGGGCUGUACUUCGGGAGCGUUGCUGUAAGCUAUGAACAUCUCAGUGCUGAGAGGGGCCUCCUACCUACUUAACAUUCCUAACAUUCAUAAGGGCGGUGAGAUGGCAUGAAAUGUAUGUGCAUAUUGUAACUAUUUACGUUAAAUGGCCAGGCAUUUUCCAGUCUCUUGCCUGUCCUGUCCAGCUAUGGAGUUUUGUUUGUGGCACUUGUACUACAGGGUGAAGCAACCUCCUCCUCUGCAGCAACAGGUACCGAUGAAAAACCCGUCUCUUGUUGAUCCGCAGUUGGUCUCUGUCUCUUCAGUGAACUCCAUCAAAGCCGUGCAUCCAAAUGUGAGCACACUGACUUCCCAGGCCAAUUCACAAGUGGUCACCUCAAAGAGAAGACCAAAUAUUUCCUGAUUUUUGGGCCUCCUUCCUAAGCCUUCUCCCUGUCUGUGUUAAGGGAGGGUGGGAGAACAGAGGGUGUCCAAAAGCAUUAGGACUUAUGAAAGGAUUUUGUUGUCAGUGGCUAUUUUUUAUGUAGUACCGUUCAUUAAUGCAGUGGGGGCUGCACAGAAAGCCAGAGGCAAUUCACGCUUCAUCGCUGAUACUUAGGGAGUCUGAAAGCAGGUGAGGGAUUUUGCUGGCCUGACCUGUUGCUGAGCGAGGCAAUUGUCAGGUGAGAGAUAUCGCUGCUGCGAGCAGCUGCCGAGAGAAGUGGCGCUCCCCGAGAUGACAGCCCACACAGGCCACGGCUGUAACAUCUUUUUCCCAACUGCUGCCUUUGAGUAGCAUUUAAAAACAGCAGGCCUGGGAUAUAGGACAUGCAGAUCAAGGCUUGGCUGUGUCACUAAACAGCAGCUACAUCAGGCAGGUAGUUCAGUGUCCUCUCUGCUGUAUAAAAAUAACUUGUUCCCUUACGGAUUUUUGUGAUUGCUUCCUUAGGUCAAGAUUUUAGAAAAUACUUGAAGAUAAACUUAAUGAAAACAGAAGCAAACCAAAGCUGAGUAGUUUCAGUUUUUUUCCUGUUUCAUUAGUUUGGAGCUAUAUUAUGAACUGAAAACUUCGAUGCUCAACUUGCUUGUAUCUGUGGAAAGAAAAAGCUGAAUAUGGAUCUGCAUUUCGCAGGGACUCUGUGCACUGGACUGGCUCACAUCUGUGCACCCACAUGCAAGGUUCCUAAACCCAGGGAUGCUCUGGGUUGGAGGGGGACAAGGAGGAGAUCUGGCUUUAGCUGAAUACUGGUCAUCCAGGACAUAGUUUUAGCUAAGAAAAUAUGAAUCAGAGGCUGGUACAUUUUUUUUGUUCAUUAAAAGAGUGCAAAGUCAUUUUUAUCUGAAGCUUAUGCUCCUGUUUUGGCCGCACACCCACACCUCCAGGGGGUGCCCACCUCUGCUGGGCUAAGUCAUUGCUUAGCUGGGAACUUGUCCAGGCAAGCUCAUGUCUCCAGAUCAGAGACUUCUUCCUUUGAACCAAUGUCCCAGUGCCCUGAGAGGGAACACUGUGAAUUUGGAAAGAGGAGACUGGCACUACGGCCCACCAAAAUGAGGUAUCAACCAAAUUUCUUCUUAACCGUCAUUGUCAUCUGCAGUGACCCAACAGUGAACAAAAGUAAGUCCUGCAGUCAGUCCUGUCUGUGCAACUGUGCACAAAGCAAGCAGAAACGUUUAACUCCCUCUUUUGUACAUGCAGCCAAAUACUGUUUUAUCUGAAAGCCAAUAUAUCAACAUACACUAAUUGGUGUGGGCUGUUGCGGUAACUAUGUUUUUAAUUGCAGAGGCUGAAAUGCGAACAUAUAUUCUGUCCCCUUCCCUUUUUUCACCUUUUCUUCAAGUUUGGGUUUAUGCAAUGCUUUGAAAGAUUUCCUUUGCAAUUCUUCAACUUUUCUUUGUCUCUGUGUGCUCUCCCUCAUAGCAAAAUUGUUUCUGAAUAGGUAAGUAUUUCAGUGAUGGAAUAGCUAUGAUUCCUUAUAGAACAUCUGUGUGUAUGUGUAUACAUGCAUAUAUCUAUGGAUACAUUCUGCAGUACAGAUAAAAAUUCUACCCCUGCCUACAGACGGCUGUAAUACGGGAAGCUUGUAAAGCAUGCAGGCAGUAUGUGUAGUCAGCAGAGCAAGCAGAGGGGGCAAAGAACUGGCACUGCGAUGUAGGGAAAGAGUUUGGAGGAGUAUAUGGACGUGCAGCUAACAAGAAGGGAAGGGAAGUGGCUGGAGGGUAAAGAGAUAUAAUGGGUCCCAAAUGUGGCAAGCACAUAUACAUAGAGCAAAUGCAAAAUGCCACCACUAGUGACAAGUGUAUUGCACCUAAGGAAAACAGCUGUGCCAAGUGCCGAAAUCCACAUUCAGCCUCCUGACCCUGUGUCUCCCCGGUCUGAUGUGGAUUAAAUUGGUCAGGUCUGAGAGCCUGCAUGAAUCCGUGUUCCACUGAAAUAACGGCUCAGUAUAUCUCUGAAACAUUUCUUGCAUGGCUACCUAUUUUGCACUUGCAAUCUUGCAUUUGUGAGACUGGUUUAUUUUAUUUUAUCCUAUUUUAUUUAUUCUGCUGUGCUCGCUAUCUCACAAACACUUUGAUUAUCUGUGUAGAUCAUUGCGUGGUUUAGUACAGUUUGGUGUUACUUACAAACCCUCCCACAUAACCCUAUUAUUUGUUAAUAAUUUUUCUAUUUUGAAGAAACACCCUUUGACACCUGAGCUGGAUCUCCUGUUCUUAGGCAUAAAUAUAAUAAAGUCCCCUAUGAAGAGCAUCUGUCUAACUAGUCCUAUCUGCUCUGUAUAUAUUUGAAUAUAUAAAAUAUUAAUAAAUGAUUCCAAAUGUUUAAUCAUAUCCAUUUGACUCCAUGAGGCUCAGUGUCUGUAGGCUUCCCGUGUUAACUGCCUCUGUGAUAUCUCCAUACUGCUGAUUUGUUGUUGAUCUUGAGUUUUUAAAGCAAAAUAAAACUGAGGUUUGCAGUUUGAUUUGAAUUAAUCAGGUCUGAUUAGACAGGAACAGAUCAGGCUGUUCUGGAAAUCCCUGACUCUCUUUAAUACAUUUUCAUGUGCUAGUCAAAAAUAAAUAAAUAAAUAAAUGUUCAUAUCUUAAGUAAGAGAGCUAUUUAUUUAACAGCAUUUUUUCAGAGUGCUGGAUCUUGGGGUUGGGGGGAGGAUUAUUAUGAUGUUCAGGUUGCAAGAAAGAAAUAGCAUUUUGUUUUACAAAAAUAAGGAUAUUUUAGAAUGGAGUCACCUGGUGGUAGAUCUCAUAAAUGUACAUAAAGAGAUCCUUCUUAAUAUUAUUAGUUGUUUUUUUUGUUGUUUUUUUUUUUUAAUUCUUGUGACACUGACUGUCCAUCUAGAAGCUUUGAUAGAUGGAGUCACAAAAACAAAAAAGUGUAUUUAGUUUAAUAAGGCAAUUUAAAGAGAAAGGCUGGAAUUAUGUAUGGCAGAGGACAAUUAUGCAAGCUAAAUGAUUCUUCAAUUAAUAAUGAGAGCCAUGAAAAGCAAAGGAGAAAGGAUCCUCCUCUCAGAAGGAGAAAGCUUUAUGGUUUCCUCCUGUGCGUACCGGGCACGUGAGGGCAGUUUUGCUGAGUCCGGUGCGGGGGACAGGGGCAGCUCUGGGGUCAGCUUUCAGCCAGAGCCUCUGGGGGUUCUGCUGGUGGCAUCUUUGGGGGCAAAGUGUCCCAUGGAAAUUUUGUGUUCCUACACAGGUCCGCCUCGGACGGUCUCCAUCUCGCAGAGCUCCGUUAGAAAGCAGCAAGCCCCAGCUGAACGUGGACCUGCGCUGUCAGCACCUGCCAGGCCCCAAACUGAUGAAAGUGAAGAAGGGAAUCUUCCACAUGGCUGCAUCUUGAAAAGCAGGUGCCGCAGUGAUUGCUUCCUACCUGAACACGCUGCGCUAUGCCAAGGGACUGGCCAGGACUUGCAUGUUAAUGCAGAAUACCUGAUGCAAUUACAUGUGAAGAGGACAUUCAGAUGCACUUCCAUAAAUGGCCUUGUGCUUCUCAAUUACAUUAACUGUCUUCACAGAUUCUUUAACAGAAAUCAUAUCCUUCUUUUUUUUUUUCAAAAUAACAAAUAGGCAUUAAUCUCAACUUUGCUGUUAUCCAAGAUGUCUUGAUCAAAGAUGUGAGAGUAAUACAAUAAACACAAGAAAAGAAACUACUGGUGGUUUCCAAUACAAACUAACAGGGAAGUGUCAAGUGAGCAGAUACUGACAAUUCAGCCCGCAAAUCAAAUGUUCGUGUCCAAAACUCCACCUUUGAGAAGGAAGAAUAAAUAUCCACAGAAUGUUUUGGCUAUAAUUACUUCAUUGAGGAGAAAAAAAAAAAGGAAAAGUGCUGAAUUCAGUUUGCUAAAGUCAAGACAUUUAUAUUUUUGGCAUGUAAAGAUGUAAACCAAAUGUUUAAAUGAAAUGUCAUCCCUUGGGCUCACAUUUGCCCAUUGAACUACAGUACAAACCCUCCAUAGACCUUCAUACAAUACACAUUUUUCAGUUCAUUGAAGAAGGCCCCUGCUGCUUCUCAAGGAAAACUAACUUGCAGAAGCAAAAUAAAUACUGGCGUCGCAGUGUAGCAGUGGAGCCUUGAAAGCACAGAUGUGUAGCAUUGUCGGCUUUUAAAUCAGAUAAGGAGUAUUCAGACAUAAUCACUCCAGUGUCUGGGACAUGUUGCACGCUGCAGAGCUGCCCAAGUAUGGCCCGACAGACACAUGCAGUGUGUAUUCAAGCUAAAUGGCAACAAGCUGACAGUAUUUCAUAACAGUCCUGUUAUGUCUAGAUAGGCAAAUGUUUGUGUAAUUUAGCUGUGACUUUGAAAUAGCUUAAGAAAUUGAGACACAAAUGGAGCUUUGUGAUUAGUUGUCAAUGAUGCCAUACCUGCUGGAUGAUGAUACUGCCGAAAAAUACUUGGGUUGAAGGGGCGUCCCUGGGGUCCUGAAGCUGUGCUGCAAGAGGCAUCGCCCCAAAGCCUCCAUCCAUCCCUUCAUUUGUCCAUCUGAGGAGUGGGACUGCUAUAGGGCUGCUCCUAUAAAAAAUAUAUGGCCGUGUAGUUAGUCGUAUGCCCUGUGCCUAGCUAAAGCACGGCAUGCAAACGGUUGUAUUUGUCUGCGUUUAGACAAGAAACUGCUAAAAAAUCAAAGUAUAUUUAACCCAACAGAAACAGGGCUCACUCGGUCUGUGGUAGGCCUAUUAAGACCUAUGAAGUACCUCAGCAAGAGAAAAUUUAACUUACAUACAACACAUGAUUUUAGGUAAAGAAAUAUUGAUGGGGUGGGGGGAACAAGUAUUUUUUUAGCUCUAAUUUAUGGCUGAGCAGCUUCAUUUUAGUUACUUCAUGAGAAUAUUUUAAACCAAGCCUGCAUAAUAUUAAAAUAAGUUAAAAUGUAUGUAAAAUUUAUGAGAGCAUGUCAGGUGCAAUGCUUGAUAAAGUAAGUUUAAUGCUUCAGAAUUUUUUUCUCCAGGCAGAGAAAGCUGAAUCCUGCAAUUCUAGGUUACAGUAUAAUUUUAGAAACUCUUUUCCAUUAUACCAUUCUUUUAUUAAUGAGAUCCAACCCAAUUUAACGAAAAGAGGUAAAUUCCUAGAGUUUGUGGAAAGUACUCAGCAGGUUGGAAGCCAGGAGCGUGUGAUAAAAGAGGAUAUUUUCCUACUGUUCAUGUGAAAUAUCCAAUUUUAUAAAAACACAGAGGAAAUCAAUUUACAACAAACUUCAUGCGUGCCUCUUCAGUGUGGUUUUUCUGCUGGAAAUGCUGCCUCACUCCGUGAACAAAUAAAAGCUUUGGCAGUUGACAGGGACUGUACAUCACUUUGAAAACUCUUCAUUUACCAGGGGUGUGUCAUGUUGUUUCAUUGUGUGACACUCCCAAUUAUCGUGACAGAGCUAAAUGACAAAGUACUGUCACCCCACUGAAAAUUCAGAGCAGCUUCUUUCCAUUUUUCUGCCUGGUCACGGGAACAUUGCUGAACUGGUACAACAGAGCGGCAGGAGCAGCAAACGGGGAAUAUCUGCAUACUGCUCUACUGUAUUAAAAAUUCAGCUCCUCGGCAAUAUUAAAUCUGAAUUUACUUCCAUCAAACAGAAACUUAGCAUAUCUCAUUCUUCCAUUAUAAAAUAUUGACAUCAGAAAUAGUGAAUCCUGGAAUGAAGAUUACAGAUGAAAACUAUAUGCUUGGCGUUAACUUGAGUUUUCCUGGCCCAUUAUGCAACACUCCUCUGUUUAUGAAAAAUACAAAUAUAAAAAAAGAAACAAACAAACAAAAAACAACCAAAUUAAGGCCACUUGAUCUACCCCAGAACAACAGAUGAACAAUAAAACCAAGCUCAGGAUGCCUCAAACUUCUAAAACUUCUUUUGCUGAACUUUUGAAGAAGAAAUUCCUCUACAGCCUUCCUCAGCUGGUCUGAAAUACACUGCCCUGUUCAAAUUGUGAAUAAUAAUUUUAAGAAAUCCUCUAGUAAAGAAAGGCUGUCCAGCUCGGCCUGCUAGAGAUCAGUUAAAAUAAUAUUUGACCCUUUUUUCAUUUGACCUUUUUCCAAGCUUUUACUGGACUUGUUUGUUGUCUCAUUUUGGUAUGAUGCUGUAUGUUCCAGAAGUGGCUGAUGACAAUAAAAUCUGAUAUAUAACAGUAAAAUGGUCGUUCCUUCUUACAUCUGACAACAAUGCCUCACUGCCACCAGGACUGUCUGCAUAUUUAUUGUUUAAAGUCAGGCUUUUCCCCUGGAAGCUGGAAGGAUACACUGACGGGUGCCUUAACUUUCUCCUACCAUCCAGGAGGAAUUAGGUAGCGGUCAGCUAUAUGAGAUGGACACCAUGCGACAACCACUUCCUGUAAGUAGCAUGUGCCUGACAAAACUAAGUUCAGCAGUGGGACAGCAACUCUUCAGACCUCUCACCAUCUUUCAGUGCUUCCAAACAACAACAACAACAACAAAUCCAAAGAUGAUAGUUUAUAUACAGCCCAGGAAGCUCUUGGAAAUUAGUGUGUAAAGUUCUGAAGGCAGAGCAGUACGGGGCAAUAACCAGCACACAAUGCAUUGCUAUUGCAACAACAAACAGCUAAACUACCAUGUGUUUAUUUUUCAGUAUGCACAAUUGUUGGAGGAUAAUGUAAAAUAUUCUUUGAAGGAAAUGCUGAAAGUGUUGUGCUUCCCCUAGCUCCCAUGGUCCUGACAAGAAACAACCCAGAAAUUCUAAUAAAUAGAAAAUAGAAAUAAAUACUUUAACUAUAUGGCAUAGGGUUUUGAAUGGGCUUUCUGAAUCAGAAAGUGCUGCCUGUAUGUCUUCGUUAUUUCUACACUCUGUAAUGUUGGCUCUCCAAAAGUCAGAGACAAAGUGAGAUAGAUACUACAAGGAUCACAGAUACUACACUAGGAAACCAAGUAUCAGUGGUACAUCCAGAUUUAUGGUAGAAGAUGGCAGUAAAGUGAAAGCAAAACUGUUUGCACAGUACGUAUUGUUGCCCAUUACUGUGUGUUUGCCCUUUUUUCUUGCUUAGCUACAGCUGAAAGAAUGGAAAAUUGUACCUUAUAUACAGUAUUAAGAGACACUUUUUGAUCGUAAGGUCAAUCAGACUAGUUUACCUGCUUGAGGUAUUUAUGGCACAAUCACUCAGUGUCUUUAAGGAAAGGUUAGAUACAUUUAUGGGAAAGGUAUUUUGCAGAAGCCUUCCUGUUUCAUAGAGGUCUUGGACAAAAUGACCCAGGAGGCCCCUUCCAAGUCUAUCAAAUGUGGUUUCCUGA